GACGAACGCUGGCGGCGUGCUUAACACAUGCAAGUCGAACGGUGAACUCCGCUUGCGGGGGGAUCAGUGGCGAACGGGUGAGUAACACGUGGGCAACCUGCCCUCAGCUCUGGGAUAACUCCAAGAAAUUGGGGCUAAUACCGGAUAUGACCGCUGACCGCAUGGUCUGGUGGUGGAAAGAUUUAUCGGCUGGGGAUGGGCCCGCGGCCUAUCAGCUUGUUGGUGGGGUAGUGGCCUACCAAGGCGACGACGGGUAGCCGGCCUGAGAGGGUGACCGGCCACACUGGGACUGAGACACGGCCCAGACUCCUACGGGAGGCACCAGUGGGGAAUAUUGCGCAAUGGGCGAAAGCCUGACGCAGCGACGCCGCGUGGGGGAUGACGGCCUUCGGGUUGUAACCCUCUUUCAGCAGGGACGAAGCGAAAGUGACGGUACCUGCAGAAGAAGCACCGGCCAACUACGUG
rnacentral:rRNA from 1 species